rnacentral:misc_RNA from 1 species
UCGAAACCUGCACAGCAGAACGACCCGCGAAUUGGUUACAACCGACGGGGGGCGGGGGGUGCUCGUCGCCCCCUCGCCCCCCCUGCGGGCGGGGAGACCUGCCCGYAAACYGAACCCCGGCGCGGAACGCGCCAAGGAAAUCGAACCAAGAGAGCCACGYUGGAGGCCCCGGACACGGUGUGCCCCCGRCGUCGGCGCUUUACGAAUUAUUC